AUUGGACGCUGGCGGCAUGCCUUACACAUGCAAGUCGAACGGCAGCACGGGUGCUUGCACCUGGUGGCGAGUGGCGAACGGGUGAGUAAUACAUCGGAACGUACCUUAUCGGGGGGGAUAACGCAGCGAAAGCUGUGCUAAUACCGCAUACGCCCUGAGGGGGAAAGCGGGGGAUCGCAAGACCUCGCGCGAUUAGAGCGGCCGAUGCCUGAUUAGCUUGUUGGUGGGGUAAAAGCCCACCAAGGCGACGAUCAGUAGCUGGUCUGAGAGGACGAUCAGACACACGGGCACUGAGACAGGGCCCAGACUCCUACGGGAGGCAGCAGUGGGGAAUUUUGGACGAUGGUGGCAACCCUGAUCCAGCAAUGCCGCGUGAGUGAAGAAGGCCUUCGGGUUGUAAAGCUCUUUUGUCAGGGAAGAAACACCGGCUCUAACACAGUCCGGGAAUGACGGUACCUGAAGAAUAAGCACCGGCUAACUACGUGCCAGCCGCCGCCGUAA
rnacentral:rRNA from 1 species